rnacentral:rRNA from 1 species
GAUGAACGCUGGCGGCGUGCCUAAUACAUGCAAGUCGAGCGAACGGACGAGAAGCUUGCUUCUCUGAUGUUAGCGGCGGACGGGUGAGUAACACGUGGAUAACCUACCUAUAAGACUGGGAUAACUUCGGGAAACCGUAGAUAAUACCGGAGAAUAUUUUGCACCGCAUGGUUCAAAAGUGAAAGACGGUCUUGCUGUCUCUUAUAGAUGGAUCCGCGCUGCAUUAGCUAGUUGGUAAGGUAACGGCUUACCAAGGCAACGCUGCAUAGCCGACCUGAGGGGGUGAUCGCCCACAUGGGAGCUGAGACACGGUCCAGGCUCCUGCGGGAGGCAGCAGUAGGGAAUCUGCCGCAAUGGGCGAAAGCCUGACGGAGCAACGCCGCGUGAGUGAUGAAGGUCUUCGGAUCGUAAAGCUCUGUUAUUAGGGAAGAACAUAUGUGUAAGUAACUGUGCACAUCUUGACGGUACCUAAUCAGAAAGCCACGGCUAACUACGUG